UGGCGGACGGGUGAGUAAUACGUAGGAAUCUACCUAGUAGUGGGGGACAACCCGGGGAAACCCGGGCUAAUACCGCAUACGCUCUACGGAGGAAAGCGGGGGAUCUUCGGACCUCGCGCUGUUAGAGGAGCCUGCGUCGGAUUAGCUAGUUGGUGGGGUAAAGGCCUACCAAGGCGACGAUCCGUAGCUGGUCUGAGAGGACGAUCAGCCACACUGGAACUGAGACACGGUCCAGACUCCUACGGGAGGCAGCAGUUAGGAAUCUUGGGCAAUGGGCGCAAGCCUGACCCAGCCAUGCCGCGUGUGUGAAGAAGGCCUUCGGGUUGUAAAGCACUUUCAGCGGUGAAGAAAAGCUCAGGGCUAAUACCCCUCGAGUCUUGACGUUAACCACAGAAGAAGCACCGGCUAACUCCGUGCCAGCAGCCGCGGUAAUACGGAGGGUGCGAACGUUAAUCGGAAUCACUGGGCGUAAAGCGCGCGUAGGCGGUCUGUUAAGUGGGAUGUGAAAUCCCCGGGCUUAACCUGGGAAUUGCAUUCCAAACUGGCCGACUAGAGUACGGUAGAGGGAGGUAGAAUUUCCUGUGUAGCGGUGAAAUGCGUAGAUAUAGGAAGGAAUACCAGUGGCG
rnacentral:rRNA from 1 species